rnacentral:rRNA from 1 species
GCUAAUACAUGCAAGUCGAGCGAACAGACGAGGAGCUUGCUCCUUUGACGUUAGCGGCGGACGGGUGAGUAACACGUAGGUAACCUACCUAUAAGACUGGGAUAACUUCGGGAAACCGGAGCUAAUACCGGAUAAUAUUUCGAACCGCAUGGUUCGAUAGUGAAAGAUGGCUUUGCUAUCACUUAUAGAUGGACCUGCGCCGUAUUAGCUAGUUGGUAAGGUAACGGCUUACCAAGGCAACGAUACGUAGCCGACCUGAGAGGGUGAUCGGCCACACUGGAACUGAGACACGGUCCAGACUCCUACGGGAGGCAGCAGUAGGGAAUCUUCCGCAAUGGGCGAAAGCCUGACGGAGCAACGCCGCGUGAGUGAUGAAGGUCUUCGGAUCGUAAAACUCUGUUAUUAGGGAAGAACAAACGUGUAAGUAACUGUGCACGUCUUGACGGUACCUAAUCAGAAAGCCACGGCUAACUACGUGCCAGCAGCGGGGGGAAAA